rnacentral:rRNA from 1 species
UUAACAAAAACAUGUCCUUUUGACAUAUAAUUUAAGGUCUAAUCUGCCCAAUGAUUAUAAUUAAAUGGCCGCGAUAUUUUGAUCGUGCGGAGGUAGCAUAAUCAUUAGUUUCUUAAUUGGGAGCUUGUAUGAAGGAUUGGAUGAGAAAAAUACUGUCUCAAAAUUAAAUAUUGAAUUUUAUUUUUAAGUCAAAAAGCUUAGAUUUAUUUAAAAGACGAGAAGACCCUAUAGAGUUUUAUAAUUUAUUAUAUUUAUAAUAUAAGGUAUAUAAAUUUUUAAAUAUUUUAAAUUAUUUGGUUGGGGUGACAGAAAAAUUUUUUUAACUUUUUUUUAGUUUUAUAUUUAUUAAUAGAUUUUUGAUUUGCUUUGAGCAGUUAAAAGAUUAAAUUACCUUAGGGAUAACAGCGUUAUUUUUCUUGAGAGUUCUAAUCGAAAGAAGAGUUUGCGACCUCGAUGUUGGAUUAAAAUAUAUUCUUGGUGUAGGAGCUAAGUUAGUUAGUCUGUUCGACUAUUAAAAUUUUACAUGAUCUGAGUU